rnacentral:tRNA from 1 species
GCAGUGGUGAGUCAGUGGUAGAAUUCUUACCUUCCAUGCAGGAGACCUGGGUUUGAUUCCCAGCCACUGUG